rnacentral:rRNA from 1 species
UACGGAGGGUGCAAGCAUUGAUCGGAAUUAUUGGGCGUAAAGGGCGCGUAGGCGGCCAGGUAAGUCAGAUGUGAAAUUCCGCGGCUCAACCGCGGAGCUGCAUUUGAAACUGCUUGACUUGAGCGUAGUUAGGGAAAACGGAAUUCCACGUGUAGCGGUGAAAUGCGUAGAUAUGUGGAAGAACACCGGUGGUGAAGACGGUUUUCUGGGCUAUUGCUGACGCUGAGGCGCGAAAGCUAGGGGAGCAAACAGG